rnacentral:rRNA from 1 species
CCUACGAGUAGCAGCAGUAGGGAAUCUUCCACAAUGGGCUAAAGCCUUAUGGAGCAACGCCGCGUGGGUGACGAAGGUCUUCGGAUCGUAAAACCCUGUUGUUCGAGAAUAAAGUGCGUGCGCGUAACUGUUCACGUUUCGACGGUAUCUAACCAGAAAGCCACGGCUAACUACGUGCCAGCCGCCGCGGUAAGACGUAGGUGGCAAGCUUUAUCCGGAGUUAUUGGGCGUAAAGGGAACGCAGGCGGUCUUUUAAGUCUGAUGUGAAAGCCUUCGGCUUAACCGGAGUAGUGCAUUGGAAACUGGGAGACUUGAGUGCAGAAGAGGAGAGUGGAACUCCAUGUGUAGCGGUGAAAUGCGUAGAUAUAUGGAAGAACACCAGUGGCGAAAGCGGCUCUCUGGUCUGUAACUGACGCUGAGGUUCGAAAGCGUGGGUAGCAAACAGGAUUAGAUACCCCAGUAGUC